GCGCUCUUAGUUCAGUUCGGUAGAACGCGUGUCUCCAAAACCCAAUGUCGUAGGUUCAAAUCCUACAGAGCAUG
rnacentral:tRNA from 1 species